CAGCAAGAAACAUUAAACAAUUCUAGAAAUAGAAAUUUAAUUUAGUUUUUAGGUUGGACGAACCAGGUGCCAGCAGUCGCGGUCAUACCUGGCAGCCAAGUUAAUUUUUGUAGGCUAGCUGUAAAGAGAAAAUCCUUGUAGUUAGGUAAAAUUGUUUCAGGGUUGAAUUUUAUUCUCUUUCAUCUCUGCUUAAGCUCUGAAGAUAAACUAGGAUUAGAUACCCUACUAUAUAGAGUGUAAAUUAUAAGCCUAAGCACUAAGACUAAAAAGUUAAAACCUAAAUCACAUGGCGGCAGUCGGAAAUUUCAGGGGAACUUGCCGGGUAAAUGAUAACCCCCAAAAAACUCUACUUUUUUCUAUAGUUUGUAUAUCUCCGUCUUUAGUAUUCAUUUCAGAUGAAUUCAGGAUGUUAAUAACUAUAAGACAGGUUCGAUGCAGCUCAUAAAGAAGUCUAGGUGAGUUACAAUAGAAAUUGGAUUUGAAAUUGUUUUGAAAUAAAAUAAAGAAAUUGGACUUGAAAGUAACAGUUAUAAUAAUCAUUAAUUGAAUUUUAAACCUGAUUGUGCACAAAUCGCCCGUCACUUUCGUUGAAAAAUGAAAUAAGUCGUAACACAGUAGGUGUACCGGAAGGUGCACCUGUC
rnacentral:rRNA from 1 species